AGGACGAACGCUGGCGGCGCGCCUAACACAUGCAAGUCGAGGGAGAACCAGACCUUCGGGUCUGGGGAGACCGGCGAACGGGUGAGUAACACGUGAGGAAUCUGCCCUGUAGACCGGAAUAACCACGGGAAACUGUGGCUAAUGCCGGAUAUUCUCAUCAAUCCGCAUGGAUCGUUGAGGAAAUGGUCAGCCGCUACAGGAUGACCUCGCGGCCUAUCAGCUUGUUGGUGGGUAACGGCCCACCAAGGCUACGACGGGUAGCUGGCGUGAGAGCGCGAACAGCCACACUGGGACUGAGACACGGCCCAGAUCCUACGGGAGGCAGCAGUGGGGAAUCUUGCUCAAUGGCGAAAGCCUGAAGCAGCGACGCCGCGUGCGGAAGAAGGCCUUCGGUUGUAAACCGCUUUCAGGGGAAGAAGCGAAAGUGACGGUACCCCAGAAGAAGACGCCAACUACGUGCCAGCAGCCGC
rnacentral:rRNA from 1 species